rnacentral:tRNA from 1 species
GUGGGAAUAGCUCAGUUGGUUAGAGCGUUGGAUUGUGGUCCCAAAGGUCGUGGGUUCGAUUCCCAUUUCCCACC